rnacentral:rRNA from 1 species
GUCCACGCCGUAAACGAUGAGUGCUAGACGUUGGGAAGCCUAGCUUUUCAGUGUCGCAGCUAACGCAUUAAGCACUCCGCCUGGGGAGUACGGCCGCAAGGUUGAAACUCAAAGGAAUUGACGGGGGCCCGCACAAGCGGUGGAGCAUGUGGUUCAAUUCGACGCAACGCGAAGAACCUUACCAACCCUUGACAUGCCAGGACGGUUUCCGGAGACGGACUCCUUCCCGCAAGGGACCUGGACACAGGUGCUGCAUGGCUGUCGU